UGGAAAAACUGACAACAGCUUGUUGUUCUCAAGAAAUCAAAGAAUAGUAAAAGCUGGACACAAAUAGAUAUCUCUGCUGAUGUGUGGAUUGGUCAUGAUGUAAAAGGUACAGCCAGAGGUAUUUGUGUAUUCUUUUCAAUGCUAGAAAAGGAAAGUUAAUGCCAAGCUGCUUCAAACAUUCUAUUAAAUGCAUAGCAACAGGAUAAUAUACAAUGAUGCUACCUCAAUUGUUGAAGGUAUCUCUUAUUAAAAGAUCACUGUUUGCAUUCAAAAUUGCAAAGCUUACAAAGUUGUUAAGAUUGUUCGGUAAAGAAAUAUUUG
rnacentral:misc_RNA from 1 species